GGAUUCGAUUGUGAGGCUUGUUAGUUAUAUGCCCAAAAGUUAAUCUGGUGACACUAGCUUAAUAAUUUAUAAUUCAUAAUAUGAGGGCAGAUAUUCUAUUCAUAUAUAUUGUAUAGCAGUACAAUAUUGACGUGAAUUGUCCAUAGGAUCUUUGUUUGAAAAGGCAUAUUCCUAAAAUUUAGGAAUUUGAGAUAUGUAUUUUUUUGUAUGAGACUUUUUAAAUGCUCAUAACCAAAGUAAUAUUAUAGGGACGAUAAUAUUCCGGAUAGACCGGUGUAUACUAUGUUUUUAAUUGAGCUGACGAAUCUCAAGUCACUAGUGUAGGGACAUUAGAAUAAGCAUACAGGUGCUUGUCAGAGAACAAGUACACUAAGCGUGACUAUUUAGUUGAACAGUCACAUAGUUCCGUACUCACCAGUGACAAGUUUAUUGCUACAGUUAUGUGAAAUACUCCUUAGACCUGAGCCAUCAUAAUUGUUUCACAUAUAGAUUACUACCGUUUGACAGUACUAAUAUUUAGACUCUAAAUAUGGGUCUAUAUUCAGUACUAAUUUGCUGUAAUGAUUUAUGAGGGAAAACAUGUGAAUGCACAAUAAGAAAUCGAACACUCUUAAUGAUGAUGGAGAACGUCCAAUGCAGUCUAUUGUACUCGACUCGGAAAAUUCCUGACUAGGGUAUAUGGUAUGUGGAAAGAGUUCCCAAUUGUGUUGCCAUAUUGAGUUGAUUUAAGAUAUUCUAUUCAUAUGGUCGAAUGAUAAGGUUUGGCGAGUAACCGUGACCUUAGUUCGAUUGGGACAUUAUAUGUUGAAAGGAAUUAAUCACACGGCAACUGUACGCGGAAAGAUUCAUUUUUCAUCACCAUUUUGGACUACUGUAAUAUACUGCUAGGUGUCAUUCCCGGACGGUGAGAGAAUAUGAAUGAUUCGAAUUGAAUUGUUCUUAUUUAUCGAUUAGAAGAGUUCUAAUUAAAUAUCAAAGAGUUUGAUGUUGAGCUCUACUGUUGAAUGGUAAUGAACCUAUACGGUCACACACAUUAGGAAUUGUGUGCGUCCGAAUCUUUUGGAUGAGAGUCGUUCACUAAAGAGUUAAUUAGUGUAAGCGAUGAAAAUAAGAGAAAGCUGCUUAAUUAAAUUAGAUUUAAUUAUUCAAGUCAGUUAUUACUGAGAGUCCUAAUUACAUUAGAAUCUCAGAAUCAGUUUGAGAAUUAUGCGCAAGAUUUAAAUUUAUCACUAAUUGGAUUAGUGAAUAAUAUUUAAUCAUAAAAUAUUUAAAUGAGAUUUAAAUAUUUUCCAUGUAAUCUUAUUGGAUAAGAAUAAAAGUAGAUGAGAUUUAAUUAAAUAUGGAGAGAUUAAUUUUUAUCUCUAAUUGGAUUAGAGAAUAAUUAAAUAUUCAUAAAUAUCUUAGACAUAAGACUUUUAUUAGAUUUCAUUUAGUUGGAUAAGUAUGAAUAUUUAAUCGUUAAAUUUUAUUGGAGAGAGAGCAAAUCUUAUUAGAUAAGAUUUACAAAAUAGUAUUUUAUAUAUAUGGAGUUAGGCUGGUAUACUAUUAGUAGCAUGGAGGUCUCCGUGCUACUAAGUUUGUUUUCAAUAAUGCGGCUUCCAAAUCGACGAUCGGUUCUAUUAGACUUGAUCUACACUAUUGAAAGUAUUUGGAAACUAAAUUUCAUAAAAUUUUGACAUCAUUUACUUAUCAAACGAGUAGUUUAAAAACGAACGGCUGAAAAUAAAAAUCUCCUAAAAAAUGAAGAUAAAAGACUUGAAUUUAAGAUCAUAGGUACUGAUUUACUCUAAA
rnacentral:lncRNA from 1 species